rnacentral:rRNA from 1 species
GUGAGGAAUAUUGCGCAAUGGAGGCAACUCUGACGCAGCCAUGCCGCGUGCAGGAAGAAGGCGCUACGCGUUGUAAACUGCUUUUAACCGGGAAGAAACCCCAGGACGUGUCCUGGGUUGACGGUACCGGAGGAAUAAGCACCGGCUAACUUCGUGCCAGCAGCCGCGGUAAUACGAAGGGUGCAAGCGUUAUCCGGAUUCAUUGGGUUUAAAGGGUGCGUAGGCGGAGCGUUAAGUCAGUGGUGAAAUCCUGCAGCUUAACUGUAGACUUGCCAUUGAUACUGGCGCGCUUGAGUGCGCUUGAAGUGGGCGGAAUGUGCCGUGUAGCGGUGAAAUGCUUAGAUAUGGCACAGAACACCAAUUGCGAAGGCAGCUCACUAAGGCGAUACUGACGCUGAGGCACGAAAGCGUGGAGAUCGAACAGGAUUAGAUACCCCUGUAGUCC